GGGUAUUAGUACGGCGAGUGAAGCGGUAAAAGCUCAAAUUUGAAAUCUGGUACUUUCAGUGCCCGAGUUGUAAUUUGUAGAAUUUGUCUUUGAUUAGGUCCUUGUCUAUGUUCCUUGGAACAGGACGUCAUAGAGGGUGAGAAUCCCGUUUGGCGAGGAUACCUUUUCUCUGUAAGACUUUUUCGAAGAGUCGAGUUGUUUGGGAAUGCAGCUCAAAGUGGGUGGUAAAUUCCAUCUAAAGCUAAAUAUUGGCGAGAGACCGAUAGCGAACAAGUACAGUGAUGGAAAGAUGAAAAGAACUUUGAAAAGAGAGUGAAAAAGUACGUGAAAUUGUUGAAAGGGAAGGGCAUUUGAUCAGACAUGGUGUUUUUUGCAUGCACUCGCCUCUCGUGGGCUUGGGCCUCUCAAAAAUUUCACUGGGCCAACAUCAAUUCUGGCAGCAGGAUAAAUCAUUAAGAAUGUAGCUACUUCGGUAGUGUUAUAGCUUUUUGGAAUACUGUUAGCCGGGAUUGAGGACUGCGCUUCGGCAAGGAUGUUGGCAUAAUGGUUAAAUGCCGCCCGUCUUAGAAAAACAACAAAC
rnacentral:rRNA from 1 species